rfam:Pan troglodytes isolate Yerkes chimp pedigree #C0471 (Clint) chromosome 11, whole genome shotgun sequence.
GCCAGGCGUGGCGGUGCAUGCCUGUAAUCCCAGCUACUUGGGAGGCUGAGGCAGGAGAAUCACUUGAGCCCGGGAGGUAGAGGCUGCAGUGAGCCAAGAUUGCGCCACUGCAAUCCAGCCUGGGCAACAAAGUGAGACUCUGUCCCCA